GAUGAAGAACGCAGCGAAAUGCGAUAAGUAAUGUGAAUUGCAGAAUUCAGUGAAUCAUCGAAUCUUUGAACGCACAUUGCGCCCCUUGGUAUUCCGAGGGGCAUGCCUGUUCGAGCGUCAUAUUAACCACUCCCGCUUGCGGGGUCUUGGGCUUCGCCUCCGGGCGGGCCUUAAAAUCAGUGGCGGUGCCGUCGGGCUCUACGCGUAGUAAAUUUUCUCGCGAUAGGGUCCCGGUGGAUGCUUGCCAACAACCCCCAACUUCUUAAGGUUGACCUCGGAUCAGGUAGGGAUACCCGCCGAACUUAAGCAUAUCAAUAAGCGGAGGA
rnacentral:misc_RNA from 1 species